AACGAACGCUGGCGGCAUGCCUAACACAUGCAAGUCGAACGAGACCUUCGGGUCUAGUGGCGCACGGGUGCGUAACGCGUGGGAAUCUGCCCUUUGCUUCGGAAUAACAGUUAGAAAUGACUGCUAAUACCGGAUGAUGUCUUCGGACCAAAGAUUUAUCGGCAAAGGAUGAGCCCGCGUAGGAUUAGGUAGUUGGUGGGUAAAGGCCUACCAAGCCGACGAUCCUUAGCUGGUCUGAGAGGAUGAUCAGCCACACUGGGACUGAGACACGGCCCAGACUCCUACGGGAGCAGCAGUGGGGAAUAUUGGACAAUGGGCGCAAGCCUGAUCCAGCAAUGCCGCGUGAGUGAUGAAGGCCUCGGUCGUAAAGCUCUUUACCUA
rnacentral:rRNA from 1 species